UACGAAGGGGGAGCUAGCGUUGUUCGGAAUUACUGGGCGUAAAGCGCGCGUAGGCGGUGAUCUUUGUCAGAGGUGAAAUCCCGAGGCUCAACUUCGGAAUUGCCUUUGAAACGGGAUCGCUUGAGUCCGAGAGAGGAUGGCGGAAUUCCUAGUGUAGAGGUGAAAUUCGUAGAUAUUAGGAAGAACACCGGUGGCGAAGGCGGCCAUCUGGCUCGGUACUGACGCUCAGGCGCGAAAGCGUGGGGAGCAAACAGGG
rnacentral:rRNA from 1 species